UAUUACUUUUGGGGACGUGGUUGAGACAAGCUUGCCUUGAACUCACUGUGUAGCCUAGGCUGGCCUUGCCUCAGACUCCUCGGUGCUGGUGUUACAGGCGUGCACCACCACUCCGGGUGUUUGCAUUGUUUUCGAUAGACCUUUGUAAGAGUACCAACAUACCUUAAGGAAAAGCGAGAACCACUCAGAAGUGGUGGUGUGCGCUUGUAAUCCCAGCGUGAGGAAGCUGAAUCAGGAGGAUUUCUGCGAGUUCAAGGUUGGUAAGAAUCAAACUUCCUGUGUGACAAGCAGCAGUGGCCUACUGAGGAGUGAGGUGGUGACACAUGGUCACAUUUGUGUCAGACUACAGCAGCAUCACCACACCCAGUGACUGAAUCCUGUACAGAAGGACUGGUUUAGCUAAGCCAGUUUCGGUUUUCCUAGAGUGAAGAGGAGCAGCAGAGUGUACGUCAUUGGAUCGAACUCGGGACCUUGCGCUUGCGGUUCUUUCCAGGGUGAAAGGAAGAGUGAGCAGUUACAGUUGUCAUUGUAUUUAAUGUAUUUUAAACAAUAAAGAGUUGGCAAGCCGGUUCAUUUCCAAAAUUUAAAAAAAAUUGCUGCUUUCCAAACUUGUUCAUGGUCUUGUCCUGUGGAAUUCAUUGCCUUGAAGGUCGUGUGGACCAACAUGAUCACAUGAUUGUGUCACGGGAGAGUGUGAAGCCC